AGAUGACCCACACCUGGCACAGUCACAGCACGGCAUCACCCCCAUUUAACUGAACCCCAAAUGAACCAGGCCCCAGAGGGUCCCCUCUGAAAGUCAGGGCUCCACUCCACAGGCCUUGACAGCAGGUGAGACUUAGAGCCAAACCACAGCACACUGCCCCGGAAGGCACUUUGCCAAGCUGCCGGACCCACCCGCGGCCCAGGCAGCCAAUUACAGCUAAUGAGCCACCUGAUGAGCUGGAGCAGCCUAAAGGCAAAGCCAGGCCACCAGGAGGCCUGUGCCCAAGCCUUGGCCUACAACCUGCCUUCCCCCCCACAGUGACCUGCCCUCCGCCACUAGGGAGAUUCUUCAGAGUGAAGACAGAAGUAUGUAGAAAAGGGAAGGCAUCCCGGUGACAAUUACCGAGACCUGGUGGCAGGAGGCCUCCCUCACCUCAUGCUGCCUCGAAGCUGCUCUGUGCGUGAUUUCACCUGAUGGUGACUUCCGUCAAUUCCUGUCUAUUUUCACUCCUUUUCUCAGGUCACUGUGGCUUCAAGGGACUUUGGAGUAAGUCUCGAAGGAGGCAGGAAAUGCUGAUGAUCACCAGUUUACAGCACAGUGCUUUCCACAAAGGAAGAAUACGUAAAAUCUGGUCCGGAAGUUCUGUAAAACACGCCAAGGAGACAUUUUAACUGCACCACAGAGGAUGAGUAGACAUUUCCAAAGCUGAGAAGAGG
rnacentral:lncRNA from 1 species